CCAAUAGCGUAUAUUAAGGUUGCUGCGGUUAAAAAGCUCGUAGUUGAAUUUCGGAAUUGAUGCAUCGGUCGCGCCUUAAGGGGCAUGAACUGGUGUAGCCAAUUUCUCACCUUCUGGUGAAUUGUUGAUGUUCUUAAUGGGUGUCUCAAUGAACUAGAAUUUUUUACUUUGAAAAAAUUAGAGUGUUUAAAGCAGGCAUUAAUUUGCUUGAAUACAUUAGCAUGGAAUAAUGAAAUAGGACAGUGGUUCCGUUUUGUUGGUUUCUAGGAUCACGUAAUGAUUAAUAGGGACAGUUGGGGGCAUUAGUAUUCAAUUGUCAGAGGUGAAAUUCUUGGAUUUAUUGAAGACUAACUAUUGCGAAAGCAUUUGCCAAGGAUGUUUUCAUUAAUCAAGAACGAAAGUUAGGGGAUCAAAGACGAUUAAGUACGUCGUAGUCCUAACCAUAAACUAUACCGACUAGGAAUCAGACGAUGUUAAUUUUUUAAUGACUCGUUUGGUACCUUACG
rnacentral:rRNA from 1 species